GGCUUAAUGAAUAUAAUUUUAAGUCAAUCUGCCCAAUGAUUUUUAAAUUUAAUGGCUGCAGUAUAAUUGACUGUACAAAGGUAGCAUAAUCAAUUGUUUCUUAAUUAGAAACUGGUAUGAAAGAAUUAAUGAGAUAUAUACUGUCUCAUAUAUAUUAGAUUAAAUUAAAAUUUUAGUAAAAAUGCUAAAAUAAUUUUAUGGGACGAUAAGACCCUAUAGAAUUUUAUAUUAAUAUAUAGAUUUAAUUUAUUUUAUAAAUUAAUAUUUAAUUGGGAGGAUUGAUAAAUUUAUUGAACUUUAUUUUAAAUAUAAACUUUGAUUUAAGAAUUUUUAAUGAUCUUAUUUUAUAAAUUAUAAGAAAAAAUUACCUUAGGGAUAACAGCGUAAUAUCUUUUUAAAGGUCAAAUUGAUAAAGAUGAUUGCGACCUCGAUGUUGAAUUAAGAUAAAUUUUAAAUGGAGAAAUUUAAUAAUUAAGUCUGUUCGACUUUUAAAAUCUU
rnacentral:rRNA from 1 species